CUCGUGCCUGGAGCCGCUGCUGAGCUCCUGCGCCUUGCAGUCUGGGAAGCAGUCCUGUGACCGCGACACACGUUAACUGCCCACUCACACAAGUCACCAUGGGAAAUCGAGUUCUUCGAGAUGCGAGUGGAGCUGCUGUGGCCAGAUGUGCCUGUCUGUUUCCAAACACAGGUGAAGAUGCACCUUUGCGCCUUCGCUUCGGUGCUAAGAAACCAGGGGAGUAAAACUUACCUAGAUAAAGAAUUUGAGACCCGCAGAAGUUGAUUCUUAGUCCUCAUUAAACAACUGGUAAAAAAUAGAGUCUGAUGCCAGAGGCCUGGAGACUUCAACUAUGCUGGCUGUGACCGCAUAACUGGGAAGCCAAACCUUGCAUGAAGAACAUGUCCAUGUUCUAUUGGCUUAGAACUGAAUGGUGC
rnacentral:lncRNA from 1 species